GGGACAUUUGCCCCAAUAGUGGUGUAUUGGUUGUAUGCAGGGUUCUAUCAGCUAUUGCCUCCCAUGGAUAAAUAUCGUCUUCAUACUAGGAAAGAGGAAAAUGCCAAGAACUUAGUUCCACUGGCUUCUGUUGUUAAAGGGGUUCUUCUUCAGCAGUUUUUUCAGGCAACUGUUGCCCACUUGCUCUUUUUGUUAACUUGUAAGGUAACUACAUCAGGAACUGUAGUCCAGCCCUCAAUUCCUG
rnacentral:misc_RNA from 1 species